rnacentral:rRNA from 1 species
GAUGAACGCUGGCGGCGUGCCUAAUACAUGCAAGUCGAGCGAACAGACGAGGAGCUUGCUCCUCUGACGUUAGCGGCGGACGGGUGAGUAACACGUGGAUAACCUACCUAUAAGACUGGGAUAACUUCGGGAAACCGGAGCUAAUACCGGAUAAUAUAUUGAACCGCAUGGUUCAAUAGUGAAAGACGGUUUUGCUGUCACUUAUAGAUGGAUCCGCGCCGCAUUAGCUAGUUGGUAAGGUAACGGCUUACCAAGGCAACGAUGCGUAGCCGACCUGAGAGGGGGAUCGGCCACCCUGGAACUGAGACACGGUCCAGACUCCCACGGGAGGCAGCAGUAGGGAAUCUUCCGCAAUGGGCGAAAGCCUGACGGAGCAACGCCGCGUGAGUGAUGAAGGUCUUCGGAUCGUAAAACUCUGUUAUUAGGGAAGAACAAAUGUGUAAGUAACUAUGCACGUCUUGACGGUACCUAAUCAGAAAGCCACGGCUAACUACGUG